CCUACGGGCGGCAGCAGUAGGGAAUUUUGCGCAAUGGGCGAAAGCCUGACGCAGCAACACCGCGUGAUCGAGACGCCCUUCGGGGUGUAAAGAUCUGUCAGUGGGGACGCAACUUGACGGUACCCACAGAGGAAGCACCGGCUAACUCCGUGCCAGCAGCCGCGGUCAUACGGGGGGUGCAAGCGUUGUCCGGAAUCAUUGGGCGUAAAGAGUUCGUAGGCGGCACGUAAAGGCUGGUGUUAAAGGCAGAGGACAAAAUUCUGUAAGGCACUGGAUACUUGAGAGCUAGAAUGAGGUAGAGGUAAAGGGAAUUCCUGGUGUAGAGGUGAAAUGCGUAGAUAUAAGGAGGAACAUCGGUGGCGUAAGCGCUUUACUGGGAAGUAAUUGAAGCUGAGGAACGAAAGAGAGGGUAGCAAAUGGGAUUAGAUACCCAAGUAGUC
rnacentral:rRNA from 1 species